rnacentral:rRNA from 1 species
AUGCAGUCGAACGAGAGAAGAGAAGCUUGCUUUUCUGAUCUAGUGGCGGACGGGUGAGUAACACGUGAGCAAUCUGCCUUUCAGAGGGGGAUACCGAUUGGAAACGAUCGUUAAUACCGCAUAACAUAAUUGAACCGCAUGAUUUGAUUAUCAAAGAUUUAUCGCUGAAAGAUGAGCUCGCGUCUGAUUAGCUAGUUGGUAAGGUAACGGCUUACCAAGGCGACGAUCAGUAGCCGGACUGAGAGGUUGAUCGGCCACAUUGGGACUGAGACACGGCCCAGACUCCUACGGGAGGCAGCAGUGGGGAAUAUUGCACAAUGGAGGAAACUCUGAUGCAGCGAUGCCGCGUGAGGGAAGAAGGUUUUAGGAUUGUAAACCUCUGUCUUCAGGGACGAAAAAAGACGGUACCUGAGGAGGAAGCUCCGGCUAACUACGUGCCAGCAGCCGCGGUAAUACGUAGGGAGCGAGCGUUGUCCGGAAUUACUGGGUGUAAAGGGAGCGUAGGCGGGAUCGCAAGUCAGAUGUGAAAACUAUGGGCUUAACCCAUAAACUGCAUUUGAAACUGUGGUUCUUGAGUGAAGUAGAGGUAAGCGGAAUUCCUAGUGUAGCGGUGAAAUGCGUAGAUAUUAGGAGGAACAUCAGUGGCGAAGGCGGCUUACUGGGCUUUAACUGACGCUGAGGCUCGAAAGCGUGGGGAGCAAACAGGAUUAGAUACCCUGGUAGUCCACGCCGUAAACGAUGAUUACUAGGUGUGGGGGGACUGACCCCUUCCGUGCCGCAGCAAACGCAAUAAGUAAUCCACCUGGGGAGUACGACCGCAAGGUUGAAACUCAAAGGAAUUGACGGGGGCCCGCACAAGCAGUGGAGUAUGUGGAUUAAUUCGA